AUUUAUAUAGUUUAAUUAAAAACACUUUAUUUUCAAUAAAGAGAAGAAUUAUUUAUUCUAUAAAUA
rnacentral:tRNA from 1 species